rnacentral:rRNA from 1 species
UUUUAGAGUUGAUUCCUGGCUCAGGAUGAACGCUAGCGGCAGGCUUAACACAUGCAAGUCGAGGGGUAUAGGAAGCUUGCUGCCCAGAGACCGGCGCACGGGUGCGUAACGCGUAUGCAAUCUACCUUUUACAGGGGGAUAGCCCAGAGAAAUUUGGAUUAAUACCCCAUGGUAUUAUAGGAUGGCAUCAUCCUAUGAUUAAAGUCACAACGGUAAAAGAUGAGCAUGCGUCCCAUUAGCUAGUUGGUAAGGUAACGGCUUACCAAGGCAACGAUGGGUAGGGGUCCUGAGAGGGAGAUCCCCCACACUGGUACUGAGACACGGACCAGACUCCUACGGGAGGCAGCAGUGAGGAAUAUUGGACAAUGGGCGCAAGCCUGAUCCAGCCAUGCCGCGUGCAGGAUGACGGUCCUAUGGAUUGUAAACUGCUUUUGUACAGGAAGAAACCCUCUUUCGUGAAAGAGAUUGACGGACGAA